ACUACAAAGGCCGGCCACCAAAGAGGGUGAUUUAGCUAACAAUCUUUCACCCUUUUGGUAAUUCCUUCAUCCUUCUCACUACACUAGUGGGUGAGGAUCUUUAGAGGUUUCCUACUUUGGGAACUUGAAGAGAACCUAGGAGCACUCAUUGUAACAAAGUGGAGGAGGUAAGGAAGGAAGCUAGGCUCAAGGAGUUCAAGGAACAAAGGGCUUGGAGGUGGUCCAUCCUUGGUCUCAAGUUUAGAUCAAGAGGUAUAAGACUAA
rnacentral:lncRNA from 1 species